GACGAACGCUGGCGGCGUGCUUAACACAUGCAAGUCGAACGAAGUGGCGAACGGGUGAGUAACGCGUAAUCAACCUGCCCUUCAGAGGGGAACAACAGUUGGAAACGACUGCUAAUACCCCAUACUGAAGGAGGGGAUUGCGUCUGAUUAGCUAGUUGGGGGGGUAACGGCCAACCAAGGCGAUGAUCAGUAGCCGGGCUGAGAGGAUGGACGGCCAAAUUUGGACCGAGACACGGCCCAGAACUCUACGGGAGGGAGCAGUGGGGAAUCUUACGCAAUGGACGAAAGUCUGACGGAGCAACGCCGCGUGAGUGAUGACGGCCUUCGGGUUGUAAAGCUCUGUUAAUCGGGACGCGGUACCGGAAUAGAAAGCAACGGCUAACUACGUGCCAGCAGCCGCGGUAAUUC
rnacentral:rRNA from 1 species